GGGAGUCCCGGUGGGUGCAAUCUGAUUGUAAAAGGAGUGAAGGGAAAGCUGGAAGGUUAAAGCACACGGCCGGAACAUACUCUGGAGAUUCUGAUGCCAAAGAUUUAUUUUUCAUCCCUCGCACAUUUGUGUUUCAAUUGACUAUGAAUACAAACAACAAUGGAUGCUAGGCAUUUUCCUAUCUCAGCGAAGUUCCCACAAUUCAGUAACAAGAACAGGACACUGGUGGUCCAGUACUCCAUCAAGUUUGAGCAGGAUAUCGAGUGCAGUGGUGGAUAUAUUAAGCUUAUGUCCGGUUAUGUCAACCAGAAAAAUUUAGUGGGGACACUCCAUAUAGUGUCUGAAUAUGAAUUGCAGCCUCUAUUGUUAGAACUGUGGAUUUUGCUGCUGAGGUACAAGAUGUGCUUAGAAAUCUUAGUGGCAACAGGGAAUCAAUGAAGGGAAUAAAGUCAUGGUUUAUGCAGAGGGCAGAGGGUGCUGUUUGUGUCGGCUCUGCCUCAAGUUCUUAAGGAAAGAGUAUUUGCCUUUAAGGAUUCAGAGGGGCAGCUGCACAUUAUUUUCCUGGUGAAUGAUAUUUUGUUUGAAAGGUAUGUUUUGAACUUCUCUUAUGGCUAUCUUGCAAUUGCAGUAUCAAAUAGGUCUUAGCCUCCAUGUUUAUUAGAGCAUACAUAACAGAAUCCCAAGCAAUAUACUGAUCUUAUUCACAUCUAAUCUUAUUGCCCCUGUUGUAGUAACAUAUCCAUUUUUUAGUGUCAGGCAUAUUUCGCCCUUUAAAUUCAUUUACAUAUCAGUUGUAUUCUGUAUUUCCUAUGAAAGACUAUUGUGCUUCGUAAAGGCCAAAUUGUUCCUUGGCAGCUAAAAUGUGUUUUAAGAAAAAGCGGACAACAAUCUAAUCCAAUCUCUUUUUACAAUGCAUAAAAUCAAUUACAGCUAGCGAAAGUACAAUGCUUUGUUUGUACUACCAGAGCUCAUGUCUAUGAACAAUAUAGGAGCAGCCAUUUAGGAUUCUAUUUUCAUUUGCCGAUGAAAGUGUUAGGCCGUUAGCUGCCAAUUCUUUAAGCACUUAAUAGUCCUUGAAAUUUUGUGUCCACAUAAACAUA